GGCUGAUGGACGUCUUAAACUCCACAUCCAAGUUAACAGCUCCUCAAACAUCACCCAGGGAUGUGAACUGAGUUUCAUCUUUGGCCGUUGACUUCUGUGUCUUGGUGGUGGCCGAUUAGAAUGAUGUAUGAGAAGGAUUAGGAAGCCGUGCUCAAGCUGAAGGAGAAAGAGGCUGUGCUCUGUUAGCAGCAUCCCCGAUGGACACAAGAGGAGGCAUCACAGGCAGCGCAUCCCACAUUUGCCACCCUGUCAUUUAUGUCCUGGAUCUUACUGCAGAGUAAUGGGCAUUUAGAUUGAUUCUCACACUAUCAUGUAUGUGAGCUACCUUUCAUGAUGACUUUUUUCUGAUAGAUGAUGAUAAUGUUAAGACCAACGCCUGAUUCUUCAAAAGCCAACACUUUCUUUGCUCUUAGGGCUGCAAAGAACAUAUACUUGGAUUCAGCUUGCCCUUAAAUAUACUGGGAAGAGAUAAGAACUCUUGAUUUCUCUACAGGGUUUCCUAAAACAUCACUUUUGCCUCCUGCCUCCCACCAUCAGCAUGCCAGCAAAUUUCCUUUCUCAUUUGUAGCUACUUUUAAAGUAAAUGUUGAAGUCAGUCUUUCAUGUUGACUAAUUUCUCAUCUUCAUUCUCAUCAUUUUUCUUUCUGUCGGUCCUAAGGAUCAGCGUUCUCUCUCUGAACACCCUUCAGUGCUGCUGGCCAUCCUCAUUAUGGUCUUGUUCAAACUAGUGUUUCUUGAGUCCCUCCUGUAAGUCUGUUAAUCCUGGAUUUCAACCUCUG
rnacentral:lncRNA from 1 species